AACGAACGCUGGCGGCAUGCCUAACACAUGCAAGUCGAACGAGACCUUCGGGUCUAGUGGCGCACGGGUGCGUAACGCGUGGGAACCUGCCCUUAGGUUCGGAAUAACUCUCCGAAAGGGGUGCUAAUACCGGAUAAUGUCUUCGGCCCAAAGAUUUAUCGCCUUUGGAUGGGCCCGCGUUGGAUUAGCUGGUUGGUAGGGUAAAAGCCUACCAAGGCGACGAUCCAUAGCUGGUCUGAGAGGAUGAUCAGCCACACUGGGACUGAGACACGGCCCAGACUCCUACGGGAGGCAGCAGUGGGGAAUAUUGGACAAUGGGCGAAAGCCUGAUCCAGCAAUGCCGCGUGAGUGAUGAAGGCCUUAGGGUUGUAAAGCUCUUUUACCCGGGAUGAUAAUGACAGUACCGGGAGAAUAAGCUCCGGCUAACUCCGUG
rnacentral:rRNA from 1 species